rnacentral:rRNA from 1 species
GACGUAGGGCGCAAGCGUUGUCCGGAUUUAUUGGGCGUAAAGAGCUCGUAGGCGGCUUGUCGCGUCGACUGUGAAAACCCGUGGCUCAACCAUGUGGUCUGCAGUCGAUACGGGCAGGCUAGAAUUCGGUAGGGGAGACUGGAAUUCCUGGUGUAGCGGUGAAAUGCGCAGAUAUCAGGAGGAACACCGGUGGCGAAGGCGGGUCUCUGGGCCGAUAUUGACGCUGAGGCACGAAAGCCAGGGGAGCAAACGGG